rnacentral:lncRNA from 1 species
CGCCACGGUGACUUGCAAGCAACUCACUGCACUUAGGCACUGGACUACCUAAAUUUCUAAUUCAGUGAUGGAAGGAUGCUGGGUGUAGUCAAGUACUUGACUUGUCGGUGCGUGUGUCAAGAUGAAAUUGACCACUCCAGUUUAGGAGCUGUGUACAGUCGUGUUUCAAUUUAGCAAAAUCUUGGCCAGGGUAGUCCUAGU